rnacentral:lncRNA from 1 species
UCCGCUGCAAGACAUCUGCCUCACACUGACUGGGAGCUAAUCCUAAGGAAACUAUCUUCUACUGCCUGGACACAACUGAAGCCAGGGACAAAGGAUUCUUCACAACCAAGAAAAGCUGGUUCUGACAAUGACAUACUCUGGACCACCUGGACCAGUAGCCGAAGAGAGAAAAUAGCACAUUAAGUUCAAUUCUGGAACUGAAAUGCAUGCCACAUGUAAAUCUGAAAAGAAAUACGCUUUGUGGAAAAAGCAGAUUAUGGGACUUGCUGAGUGAUGGGAAAUGGAGCUAUGAUCCUCUAUGUAGACACGAAUUGAUAUGUUGAGCACUUGAUUAAACAGUUUUAAAAAAAUGAUUCCAAUGAGAUGUGAUUCUGAGCAAAUGACAUGAGUUUUUGUUUUUGUUUUUUUUUUUGGCCUGGACAGACAGUCCCAUUGCGUGGACGAAAAAAGG